rnacentral:rRNA from 1 species
AUUGAACGCUGGCGGCAGGCCUAACACAUGCAAGUCGAACGGUAGCACAGAGAGCUUGCUCUCGGGUGACGAGUGGCGGACGGGUGAGUAAUGUCUGGGAAACUGCCCGAUGGAGGGGGAUAACUACUGGAAACGGUAGCUAAUACCGCAUAACGUCGCAAGACCAAAGUGGGGGACCUUCGGGCCUCACACCAUCGGAUGUGCCCAGAUGGGAUUAGCUAGUAGGUGGGGUAAUGGCUCACCUAGGCGACGAUCCCUAGCUGGUCUGGGAGGAUGACCAGCCACACGGGGACUGAGACACGGUCCAGACUCCUACGGGAGGCAGCAGUGGGGAAUAUUGCACAAUGGGCGCGAGCCUGAUGCAGCCAUGCCGCGUGUAUGAAGAAGGCCUUCGGGUUGUAAAGUACUUUCAGCGGGGAGGAAGGCGGUGAAGUUAAUAACUUCACCGAUUGACGUUACCCGCAGAAGAAGCACCGGCUAACUCCGUGCCAGCCGCCGCCGUAA